rnacentral:rRNA from 1 species
UACGGGGGGGGCAAGCGUUGUUCGGAAUUACUGGGCGUAAAGGGCUCGUAGGUGGCCAACUAAGUCAGACGUGAAAUCCCUCGGCUUAACCGGGGAACUGCGUCUGAUACUGGAUGGCUUGGGAUUGGGAGAGGGAUGCGGAAUUCCAGGUGUAGCGGUGAAAUGCGUAGAUAUCUGGAGGAACACCGGUGGCGAAGGCGGCAUCCUGGACCAACACUGACACUGAGGAGCGAAAGCCAGGGGAGCAAACGGG